GGCACCCUACGGGAGGCAGCAGUGAGGAAUAUUGGUCAAUGGGCGAGAGCCUGAACCAGCCAAGUCGCGUGAAGGAUGACGGCCCUAUGGGUUGUAAACUUCUUUUGUCAGGGAGCAAUUGAGUCCACGUGUGGGCUUAGCGAGAGCACCUGAAGAAAAAGCAUCGGCUAACUCCGUGCCAGCAGCCGCGGUAAUACGGAGGAUGCGAGCGUUAUCCGGAUUUAUUGGGUUUAAAGGGUGCGUAGGCGGAAUAUCAAGUCAGCGGUAAAAAUUCGGGGCUCACCCCCGUCGUGCCGUUGAAACUG
rnacentral:rRNA from 1 species